UACGUAGGGAGCGAGCGUUGUCCGGAAUCAUUGGGCGUAAAGAGCGCGUAGGUGGAUCAAUUAGUCUGCUGUGAAAGUCCAAGGCUCAACCUUUGAAAGCCGGUGGAUACUGUUGAUCUAGAGUACGGAAGAGGCGAGUGGAAUUCCUGGUGUAGCGGUGGAAUGCGCAGAUAUCAGGAGGAACACCAAUAGCGAAGGCAGCUCGCUGGGACGUUACUGACACUGAGGCGCGAAAGCGUGGGGAGCAAACAGG
rnacentral:rRNA from 1 species